rnacentral:rRNA from 1 species
GAGGGGGUCGCGGCUGAUUAGCUAGUUGGCGGGGUAAUGGCCCACCAAGGCGAAGAUCGGUAUCCGGCCUGAGAGGGCGCACGGACACACUGGAACUGAAACACGGUCCAGACUCCUACGGGAGGCAGCAGUGGGGAAUUUUGCGCAAUGGGGGAAACCCUGACGCAGCAACGCCGCGUGGAGGAUGAAGUCCCUUGGGACGUAAACUCCUUUCGACCCGGACGAUACUGACGGUACGGGUGGAAGAAGCACCGGCUAACUCUGUGCCAGCAGCCGCGGUAAUACAGAGGGUGCGAGCGUUGUUCGGAAUUAUUGGGCGUAAAGGGCGCGUAGGCGGUGCCACAAGUCACCUGUGAAAUCUCCUGGCUCAACUGGGAGCUUGCAGGCGAAACUGUGGUGCUGGAGUGUGGGAGAGGUGCGUGGAAUUCCCGGUGUAGCGGUGAAAUGCGUAGAUAUCGGGAGG